UGCGGCCCUCUCGUGAGUUGUAGCUUAGGUC
rnacentral:piRNA from 1 species